rnacentral:rRNA from 1 species
UACGGAGGGUGCAAGCGUUAUCCGGAUUCACUGGGUUUAAAGGGUGCGUAGGCGGGUAAGUAAGUCCGUGGUGAAAUCUCUGAGCUUAACUCAGAAACUGCCGUGGAUACUAUUUGCUUUGAAUAUUGUGGAGGUGAGCGGAAUAUGUCAUGUAGCGGUGAAAUGCUUAGAUAUGACAUAGAACACCAAUUGCGAAGGCAGCUCACUACACAAUCAUUGACGCUGAGGCACGAAAGCGUGGGGAUCAAACAGG